rnacentral:rRNA from 1 species
UGCCAGACUCCUACGGGAGGCAGCAGUAGGGAAUUUUCGUCAAUGGGCGCAAGCCUGAACGAGCAAUGCCGCGUGAACGAGGAAGGUCUUCGGAUCGUAAAGUUCUGUUGACGGGGAAAAAAGACCGGGAAAGGAAAUGAUCCCGGAGGAGAUAUUACCCGUCGAGGAAGUCACGGCUAACUACGUGCCAGCAGCCGCGGUAAUACGUAGGUGGCGAGCGUUAUCCGGAAUGAUUGGGCGUAAAGGGUGCGCAGGCGGUCCUGCAAGUCUGGAGUGAAACGCAUGAGCUCAACUCAUGCAUGGCUUUGGAAACUGGAGGACUGGAGAGCAGGAGAGGGCGGUGGAACUCCAUGUGUAGCGGUAAAAUGCGUAGAUAUAUGGAAGAACACCAGUGGCGAAGGCGGCCGCCUGGCCUGUUGCUGACGCUGAGGCACGAAAGCGUGGGGAGCAAAUAGGAUUAGAUACCCGCGUAC